UACGAGGGGGGCAAGCGUUGUUCGGAAUUAUUGGGCGUAAAGGGCGCGUAGGCGGUGCGGUAAGUCUGAUGUGAAAUCCCGGGGCUCAACCCCGGAACUGCAUUGGAUACUGCCUUGCUUGAGUACUGGAGAGGGAACUGGAAUUUACGGUGUAGCAGUGAAAUGCGUAGAUAUCGUAAGGAAGGCCAGUGGCGAAGGCGAGUUCCUGGACAGUUACUGACGCUGAGGCACGAAGGCCAGGGGAGCAAACGGG
rnacentral:rRNA from 1 species